rnacentral:rRNA from 1 species
GACUCUAGGUAAUCUAUAUCUCGACUCUUUUCACAAUGAAGAAUGUAGUGAAAUGUGAUACUUAGUGUGAAUUGUAGAAUCACGUGAAUCAUCGAGUUUUUGAAUGAAAUUUUUGCAUGAGGCCUUGGUCAAGGGUACGUCUGUCUAGCCAUUG